UGGGGAAUAUUGCACAAUGGGCGGAAGCCUGAUGCAGCAACGCCGCGUGAGGGAUGACGGCCUUCGGGUUGUAAACCUCUUUUAGCAGGGAAGAAGCGAGAGUGACGGUACCUGCAGAAAAAGCGCCGGCUAACUACGUGCCAGCAGCCGCGGUAAUACGUAGGGCGCAAGCGUUAUCCGGAAUUAUUGGGCGUAAAGAGCUCGUAGGCGGUUUGUCGCGUCUGCUGUGAAAUCCCGAGGCUCAACCUCGGGCCUGCAGUGGGUACGGGCAGACUAGAGUGCGGUAGGGGAGAUUGGAAUUCCUGGUGUAGCGGUGGAAUGCGCAGAUAUCAGGAGGAACACCGAUGGCGAAGGCAGAUCUCUGGGCCGUAACUGACGCUGAGGAGCGAAAGGGUGGGGAGCAAACAGGCUUAGAUACCCUGGUAGUCCACCCCGUAAACGUUGGGAACUAGUUGUGGGGACCAUUCCACGGUUUCCGUGACGCAGCUAACGCAUU
rnacentral:rRNA from 1 species